rnacentral:rRNA from 1 species
UGGGGAAUCUUGCGCAAUGGGCGAAAGCCUGACGCAGCGACGCCGCGUGAGUGAUGAAGGCCUUCGGGUUGUAAAGCUCUGUGGGGAGAGACGAAUAAGUGCAGCCUAAUACGUUGCAUGAUGACGGUAUCUCCUUAGCAAGCACCGGCUAACUCUGUGCCAGCAGCCGCGGUAAGACAGAGGGUGCAAACGUUGUUCGGAAUUACUGGGCGUAAAGCGUGUGUAGGCGGUCUGCUAAGUCGGGUGUGAAAGCCCUGGGCUCAACCCAGGAAGUGCACUCGAAACUGGCAGGCUAGAGUACUGGAGAGGUUGGUGGAAUUCUCGGUGUAGAGGUGAAAUUCGUAGAUAUCGAGAGGAACACCGGUGGCGAAGGCGGCCAACUGGACAGAUACUGACGCUGAGACACGAAAGCGUGGGGAGCAAACAGG